rnacentral:lncRNA from 12 species
AAUGUCUUGAAGAUAAACAUUUUCCAUAAAACACAGGUUUAUGAGAAUCAAUUUUUUUUACUUAUUUUUUUUUACUUUUAUUGUUAUUUUUUAGCACUGUGGUGACUUGCAGGAUCACAAUAUGUGUGGACUUCCCAACAAUAUCAAGUAGCAGGACAAGAUAGCUGUGGUUACCUCUGCCCAUGGCUGGUCAUUCACAGAGGCCCCCGCCCCAGCCAUGGGGUGCCAAACCGUGUCUCCUGCUCUGGCGUUGCUUCUGCUGAAAGAAAGCACAAAGACUGAGGCUGUGGUGGCCCUGUAGGUAAGUGGGAGCUGCUUAUAUUAUUUUCUGUAUUUCUAUGUUUGAAAUAUUUCAUCACUUUAAAAAGGCACCCUGACUUUCCACAAGG